CCGAGUUUACAACUCCCAAACCCCUGUGAACAUACCUAUCGUUGCUUCGGCGGGUUUCGCCCCGGUCUCUCGCGGACCGGACCCAGGCGCCCGCCGGAGGACCCAAACUCUUGUUUUUAUGAGUAUCUUCUGAGUAAACAAGCAAAUAAAUUA
rnacentral:misc_RNA from 1 species